rnacentral:rRNA from 1 species
UACGUAGGAGGCGAGCGUUGUCCGGAUUUACUGGGCGUAAAGGGCGCGCAGGCGGCAUGGCAAGUAAGAUGUGAAAUCUCCCUGCUCAACGGGGAGGGAGCAUUUUAGACUGCCAAGCUAGAGGACGGUAGAGGGGGUAGAAUUGCUGGUGUAGCGGUGAAAUGCGCAGAUAUCAGGAAGAACACCCGUGGCUAAGGCGGCUCUCUAGUACGGUACUGACGCUGAGACGCGAAAGCGUGGGGAGCGAACAGG